CCUACGGGAGGCAGCAGUGAGGAAUAUUGGUCAAUGGACGAGAGUCUGAACCAGCCAAGUAGCGUGAAGGAUGACUGCCCUAUGGGUUGUAAACUUCUUUUAUAUGGGAAUAAAACGUUCCACGUGUGGGAUUUUGUAUGUACCAUAUGAAUAAGGAUCGGCUAACUCCGUGCCAGCAGCCGCGGUAAUACGGAGGAUCCGAGCGUUAUCCGGAUUUAUUGGGUUUAAAGGGAGCGUAGGUGGAUUGGUAAGUCAGUUGUGAAAGUUUGCGGCUCAACCGUAAAAUUGCAGUUGAAACUGGCAGUCUUGAGUACAGGAGAGGUGGGCGGAAUUCGUGGUGUAGCGGUGAAAUGCUUAGAUAUCACGAAGAACUCCGAUUGCGAAGGCAGUUCACUGGACUGCAACUGACACUGAGGCUCGAAAGUGUGGGUAUCAAACAGGAUUAGAUACCCUUGUAGUC
rnacentral:rRNA from 1 species